UACGUAGGGGGCUAGCGUUGUCCGGAUUUAUUGGGCGUAAAGAGCGUGUAGGCGGCCAGGUAGGUCUGGUGUGAAAACUCGAGGCUUAACCUCGAGAUGUCAUCGGAAACCAUCUGGCUAGAGUUCGGGAGAGGAGCGUGGAAUUCCCAGUGUAGAGGUGAAAUUCGUAGAUAUUGGGAAGAACACCGGUGGCGAAGGCGGCGCUCUGGACCGAGACUGACGCUGAGGCGCGAAAGCGUGGGGAGCAAACAGG
rnacentral:rRNA from 1 species